GCACGUGACGUGUCACAAAGGCACCCCUGGGCUUUUGGGGCAAAUACAACACAUACACAAACACUGUCCUAGAAGGCAUAAUCUCAGAAGCAUCACAGGAGAGAUUUAGAAAAGGAGAGGUCUCGUCUGGCUACAGGAGGCAGAAUCCUCGGGAAAGAAGAAAUACCAGUGGUGGGUUAAAAAAAAAAAAGUUUAACAUUUAUUUUUGAGAGAGAGAAAGAGAGAGUCAGAAAGAGGGAGACAGAGAAUCCAAAGCAGUUUCGGUGCAGGGACUUCCCGACGCUCAAACUCAAGAACCGUGAGAUCAUGACCUGAGCCGAAAUCAAGAGUCAGAGGCUUGACCGACUGAGUCACCAGGCGCCCCACCAGUGGUGGGUUUUGAAGAAAGGUAGGAAAUCAACAGAGAACAUAGUAAAGGCAGAUGGGCAGGUCUUCCUGUGGAAGGGGUUGGCCAAGCCAACGCCCAGGAGCGUGAAAACCAGGUCAUGGUCUCAGUUACCGGUUUUCCACCAUCACACCUGUCUGACCAUAUUGUUGGAUGCCCAGAGAUGUACUCUUCCUUUGUGUGCUUUUUUUCUUUUUCUUUUUUUUUUUUUUUUGUCAUCAGAUCAAGGCACUCAUACAUCCAAGGGCAAAAGACCAUCAACUUGGUGGUGGUCCCCUGUAACGUGGAUGUUGCCAGCACAGAGGCAGUGAGCGUGGCUCGGGAGGUGGACCCUGAUGGAGACAGGGCCAGAGAUGCCUGGUUUUCCAGUAAGGACAGAAAUAAACAGUAGGGGCAAACCCCUCAAGUAUAACGUUUCACCACGCGCUGGACCACGCUUGCACCCUGUUAGCUGUUGACUUCUCCAAGCAUCACAAACGCACUGAGCCAGAGAGAACACUCAGGCUUUGGGUCAUCAGUCAUCCCUGCUGGUUUCUGGCUCACCAUUCUCCCUCGGUCUCCUCCUUCACUGGCCACUGGAGGUCACAUUCUUAGUCUCCUGGUCUGGUUGCUUCUUCAGUUCUCUGACCCCUAAAGUCGGAAAGCCAAAACUUGGCUCUGAGAUCCUCCCUCCGUCAACACGUGCUCUUUAGGCAAGCUUAUGAGGUGAGCUCAUCUCUAUCAGCUGGCAACUCCCAGAUCUAAAUUUGUGCCCCUUCCCUUUCCCUAGACUUGACAUUUCCAGUUGGAUGUCUGUCAAAGGUCUCCAAUCUAGUGCGACCAAAACAUAGCUCCUGAUACCCCACCCUGCCUCAGUCCUCCUCCUCCCAAGGCUUCUCCCCCUAUUCCCAGCACCACAUCUACCUGCCCAGUUCUAGAACUAAAUCUAAAAGUCACACUUGAUUCCUCCUUCCCCUGCUUCCAUUUCUAAUUCACCUAGAGUCCAGAUGACUCUGUCCCCAAAACCAAGACCACAUCUGUCCACCACGCUCCAUCACCACGUAGGCCAGGCCCCCUUCCUCUCUUGCCUGGACUACUCAAGCAUCCUCCUGCUGGCUCCUGGCUCUCACCUUGCCCUAAGUACACCCUCCACUGACCUUUGAACAGGUAAAUGAAGUCACGCCCUUCCUCUGCUUCUACCCUAAUGCGUCCACGCCACGUACACGAACCCUAGGCUCCUUUCCUGGACGACAAACCCUCCUGUGACCUGGCUCCAUCCACCUCUGUGCUCAUGGUUCCAUUUCACUCUGCCUUUCCCACCACCCUUCAGUGUAGCUGUGAGCCGGAGGGCCUGGGAUGUUCUUUCUCCUUCCUCACAGGCUGGGUGUGCAGAUCUCAGCCCGAACGCUACCCUCCCAGAGGCCUUCUCUCCACUCAGCCCAGCACCGCACCACCCACCCUCACCUGCACUCAUUUGCCGGCACAUGACCGGAUGUCACUUUCUCUGCGUAAUGCUUCUCAAUAGCGUUACUAUCAAGGUAUGUUUCUUUAUUUCUCGCAAAUCACAAGACUAAUGUAUCUGGCUUUUACCCGCUGGAAGGCGACGGGGUAGUCACACAACAGGGACUCUGCAGUCUUGUUCACUGCCGCUUCCUCAACUAAAGUAGAGUGCUUAAUAAGCAUCUUUCAAUUCCAUAUGAAUGUGCAAGGUAUGCAGGAAGGAGUUAAUUUAAAAAGAGAAAAAAAACCCCUAAAGCAUCUAAAAACAGGUGACCGUUCCCUUCUCUGUGGCGCAAUAGUUGGGAUAUUAGAUGAUGCUUAGAGCCCACUGCAGGGCUCGAACUCCCAAAGGGUGAGAUCCUGACCUGAGCUGGGAUCCGGAGUCU